CGAAAGCUGGCAACCUAAACAUGAAAUACAUAAAGUAAACAAAAUCAUUGGAACUUCUCAAAUUCAUCUCAGAAAGCACUGAAAGGUUAACUUUAUUGCAGUAAAAUUACAUUAGUGCCUUAGAGGCAAAAUAUAAUCUCUUUGUAAAAUCUGAACAGAAGGAGAUGGGGAAUAUAAUCUUUUUCUUGUUCUUUUUUUCUAAUUUAAGUUUGGAUUUUGCUAGUGAUAAUUUCAGAAGAAUUAAAAGGACUUUCAGUAUGACUAUGAAAUUUCUCAGGGGAUUCCACAGAACCUAGUANAGAUAUAGCAUUAGGUUUAAUACUUUACUCCUAAUUUAUUGCAGCAAUUACUGUUGAAAGCUCUCNUAACACUUUAAAACUGGCCAUUCUUCAAUGAUACUUGGGUGUUACAUCUGACACAAUCGCCAUGAAGAUCAAUAGGGUUUUUGAGCAUCUCCAGAAAAACAGCCAUAAAGGGAUAAGGCAAAUAGCUCNUGGGGGCCUUAGUGAUUAUUUUCCUUUUCUCAUCUGAGACAGCUGCCUAUAUCAUCCUUUUCAAAAGUAACUAUCUCUAUGCUUCCUGCCUGCUAGGAAAUGUGAGAUGGCCAUUCUUCACAGAAAUGUUAAGAUGAGUAACCCUGGUUCAAACGGAAAAUAUCCACAAUAAAGCUUAAUUUUGAUUUUCAGUUUUUCUGUGUGGAAGGGAGGCGGAAAUUGGUCUCUUGUUAAGAAGCAGGCCACGUCUCCAUGUCAAAAGUGGGAAGGCCUGGGGGUAUGUUCCGCAUUUGCCAUGUCAAAUGGUAUUUCCAUGUCUCCUUUUCGGCACACAAAGUCUUCUGAUGAUGUGGCCAGUGAAGUCCUUCUGUCGAGGAAGGUGACAUCACAUCCUGCACCUGAGGGUGCUUCAGUCAGCCAUCAUGCUCCUCCGACAGGCAGAGUGCUCCUCACUGGGUACCUCACGAUGCCGUCCCUUCUGGAAAGUGCCUGAUAUGAUCUUGCACCCAGAAGAUGGCAUUCACUGCAUCUAGGCAAGACAUGAUGGAAACUAGGAACUGACGCCAUCUGGAUUACAGGGUCUCCAUUCCUGCCUUUGAUUUGCUGCUGUGGGAAACGUGAUGGAGGCCUUGUUUGUGUGUCAUCUCAGUAAUACUGUUACAGGAACUGCUCUCUUCCGCCAAAGCUGGGAUCCUGUCCAGGCUAGAACCUCACCAAUACAAAAAGUAAAGCUCUGUAUGGACCAGAUAAUUCUUUUUUCCCCUGUCAGAUCAGUUGGAAAUCUGUAUAUGCA
rnacentral:lncRNA from 1 species